UACGUAGGGUGCGAGCGUUGUCCGGAAUUACUGGGCGUAAAGAGCUCGUAGGUGGUUUGUCGCGUUGUUCGUGAAAACUCACAGCUCAACUGUGGGCGUGCGGGCGAUACGGGCAGACUAGAGUACUGCAGGGGAGACUGGAAUUCCUGGUGUAGCGGUGGAAUGCGCAGAUAUCAGGAGGAACACCGGUGGCGAAGGCGGGUCUCUGGGCCGAUACUGACGCUGAGGAGCGAAAGCGUGGGGAGCGAACAGG
rnacentral:rRNA from 1 species